CCUACGGGUGGCAGCAGUGAGGAAUAUUGGUCAAUGGCCGAGAGGCUGAACCAGCCAAGUCGCGUGAGGGAAGACGGCCCUACGGGUUGUAAACCUCUUUUGUCGGGGAGCAAAGCGAACCACGUGGGGGUCAUUGAGAGUACCCGAAGAAAAAGCAUCGGCUAACUCCGUGCCAGCAGCCGCGGUAAUACGGAGGAUGCGAGCGUUAUCCGGAGUUAUUGGGGUUAAAGGGAGCGUAGGUGGAUUGGUAAGUCAGUUGUGAAAGUUUGCGGCUCAACCGGAAAAUUGCAGUUGAAACUGGCAGUCUUGCGUACAGUAGAGGUGGGCGGACUUCGUGGUGUAGCGGUGCAAUGCUUCGAUCUCACGAAGAACUCCGAUUGCGACGGCAGCUCACUGGACUGCACCUGACACUGAGGCUCGACCGUGUGGGUAUCAAACAGGAUUAGCUACCCCAGUAGUC
rnacentral:rRNA from 1 species